rnacentral:rRNA from 1 species
GAUGAACGCUGGCGGCGUGCUUAACACAUGCCAGUCGAACGAAGCACUUUAUUUGAUUUCCUUCGGGACUGAUUAUUUUGUGACUGAGUGGCGGACGGGUGAGUAACGCGUGGGUAACCUGCCUUGUACAGGGGGAUAACAGUUGGAAACGGCUGCUAAUACCGCAUAAGCGCACGGCAUCGCAUGAUGCAGUGUGAAAAACUCCGGUGGUAUAAGAUGGACCCGCGUUGGAUUAGCUAGUUGGUGAGGUAACGGCCCACCAAGGCGACGAUCCAUAGCCGACCUGAGAGGGUGACCGGCCACAUUGGGACUGAGACACGGCCCAAACUCCUACGGGAGGCAGCAGUGGGGAAUAUUGCACAAUGGGCGAAAGCCUGAUGCAGCGACGCCGCGUGAGCGAAGAAGUAUUUCGGGAUGUAAAGCUCUAUCAGCAGGGAAGAUAAUGACGGUACCUGACGAAGAAGCACCGGCUAAAUACGUG